rnacentral:rRNA from 1 species
AUUGAACGCUGGCGGCAUGCCUUACACAUGCAAGUCGAACGGCAGCAUGGGAGCAAUCCUGGUGGCAAGUGGCGAACGGGUGAGUAAUGUAUCGGAACGUGCCCAGUCGUGGGGGAUAACGUAGCGAAAGCUACGCUAAUACCGCAUACGAUCUAUGGAUGAAAGCGGGGGACCGUAAGGCCUCGCGCGAUUGGAGCGGCCGAUAUCAGAUUAGGUAGUUGGUGGGGUAAAGGCCUACCAAGCCGACGAUCUGUAGCUGGUCUGAGAGGACGACCAGCCAAACUGGGACUGAGACACGGCCCAGACUCCGACGGGAGGCAGGAGUGGGGAAUUUUGGACAAUGGGCGCAAGCCUGAUCCAGCAAUGCCGCGUGCAGGAUGAAGGCCUUCGGGUUGUAAACUGCUUUUGUACGGAGCGAAAAGGCUCUCUCUAAUACAGGGGGCUCAUGACGGUACCGUAAGAAUAAGCACCGGCUAACUACGUGCCAGCCGCCGCCGUAAUAC